AACGUAGGUGGCAAGCGUUAUCCGGAUUUACUGGGUGUAAAGCGUGUGCAGGCGGUCGUGUAAGUAGCGCGUGAAAGCGCCCGGCUCAACCGGGCGAGGACGUGCUGUACUGCACGACUGGAGAUGGGUAGAGGCGAGUGGAAUUCCGGGUGUAGUGGUGAAAUGCGUAGAUAUCCGGAGGAACACCAGAGGCGAAGGCGACUCGCUGGGCCCGUUCUGACGCUCAGACACGACAGCAUGGGGAGCAAACGGG
rnacentral:rRNA from 1 species